rnacentral:tRNA from 1 species
UCCCUGGUGGCUCAGACGGUAAAGCAUCUGCCUGCAAUGCAGGAAACCCGGGUUUGAUUCCUGGGUCGGGAA